rnacentral:rRNA from 1 species
UACGUAGGGGGCGAGCGUUGUCCGGAUUUAUUGGGCGUAAAGAGCUCGUAGGCGGCUUGGCAAGUCGGGUGUGAAACCUCCAGGCUCAACCUGGAGACGCCACUCGAUACUGCCAUGGCUAGAGUCCGGUAGGGGACCACGGAAUUCCUGGUGUAGCGGUGAAAUGCGCAGAUAUCAGGAGGAACACCGGUGGCGAAGGCGGCAUCCUGGACCAAUACUGACGCUGAGUGAGCGAAAGCCAGGGGAGCAAACGGG